UACGUAGGGUGCGAGCGUUAAUCGGAAUUACUGGGCGUAAAGCGUGCGCAGGCGGUGAGCUGUGUCCGAUGUGAAAGCCCCGGGCUUAACCUGGGAAUGGCAGUGGAAACUAGGGGACUGGAAUCUGGCAGAGGGGGGUGGAAUGCCGCGUGUAGCAGUGAAAUGCGUAGAGAUGCGGCGGAACACCGAUGGCGAAGGCAGCCCCCUGGGCUGAGAUUGACGCUCAGGCACGAAAGCGUGGGGAGCAAACAGG
rnacentral:rRNA from 1 species